rnacentral:rRNA from 1 species
UACGUAGGUGGCAAGCGUUGUUCGGAAUUAUUGGGCGUAAAGGGCGCGUAGGCGGUUUGUUAAGUCGGCUGUGAACGCCCGGGGCUCAACCCCGGAGGGUCAGCCGAUACUGGCAGACUAGAGUACGGAAGAGGUAGCUGGAAUUCCCGGUGUAGCGGUGAAAUGCGUAGAUAUCUGGAGGAAUACCGGUGGCGAAGGCGGCAUCCUGGACCGGCACUGACACUGAGGAGCGAAAGCCAGGGGAGCAAACGGG